CUACGGGGGCAGCAGUGAGGAAUAUUGCACAAUGGGGGGAACCCUGAUGCAGCAACGCCGCGUGGAGGAUGACGCAUUUCGGUGUGUAAACUCCUUUUAUAUGUCAAGAAAAUGACGGUAGCAUAUGAAUAAGCACCGGCUAACUCCGUGCCAGCAGCCGCGGUAAUACGGAGGGUGCAAGCGUUACUCGGAAUCACUGGGCGUAAAGGACGCGUAGGCGGGUUGGAAAGUCAGGUGUGAAAUCCUACAGCUUAACUGUAGAACUGCACUUGAAACUUCUAAUCUAGAGUACGGGAGGGGGAGAUGGAAUUAGUGGUGUAGGGGUAAAUCCGUAGAUAUCACUAGGAAUACCUAAAGCGAAGGCGAUCUCCUGGAACAUUACUGACGCUAAGGCGUGAAAGCGUGGGGAGCAAACAGGAUUAGAUCCCUCGUAGUC
rnacentral:rRNA from 1 species